rnacentral:rRNA from 1 species
UACGUAGGGUGCAAGCGUUGUCCGGAAUUAUUGGGCGUAAAGAGCUCGUAGGCGGUCUGUCGCGUCGGCUGUGAAAUCCCGGAGCUCAACUCCGGGUCUGCAGUCGAUACGGGCAGGCUAGAGGUAGGUAGGGGAGAAUGGAAUUCCCGGUGUAGCGGUGAAAUGCGCAGAUAUCGGGAGGAACACCGGUGGCGAAGGCGGUUCUCUGGGCCUUACCUGACGCUGAGGAGCGAAAGCGUGGGGAGCGAACAGG